rnacentral:rRNA from 1 species
AGUCUGCAACUCGACUACAUGAAGCUGGAAUCGCUAGUAAUCGCAGAUCAGAAUGCUGCGGUGAAUACGUUCCCGGGUCUUGUACACACCGCCCGUCACACCAUGGGAGUCGGAAAUGCCCGAAGCCGGUGACCCAACCAAAAGGAGGGAGCCGUCGAAGGCAAGUCUGAUAACUGGGGUGAAGUCGUAACAAGGUAUC